ACCCUCCACGUUUGCAUCAAUAAAGCUACAUAUAUACAUACAUAGCAGCUAUAUAUAAAUAUGUAUAAUAUCACUACAACAGAAUUAGGUUAUAGCGACAUAUGUUUGGGACACUUUUGAGUAAGUGUCAUAUUUAUUCUAAAACUUAAAAACACAUUUACUAAUACCUAAAUAUAAAGCCCAAUCCAACCAAAAAUAAGAGAUUACUCUACUCAACCCACCACACCCAGUCCAUUUGGCCCGAUUACAAACAGAAAAGAAAAAAAAGAAAAAAUCAAUUACCAUCUUUUCUUCUCUCUUCACUCAAUCCACUGAAAUUCUAGAUGAAAAGCCUUUACUGUCGUCCUUCUCCGCCACCGCAGCCAACGAGAUAGAGUUUCGGCGGUUGCUAAAUGCUUAAAUAAGUGUUGGUAAAUUAGUAGCACUCUUUUAGAUUAUAACGACACUCUUUAACUGUCACUAUAUACCUAGCGACCCCACAUAUAGCAAUAUUUUUUAAAAAUAUUGCUAAUUUUAGCUAGCAGUAUUUUUUUGACAUGUACCUAUAUUUAAAAAUAUCGCUAUAGAUCGUUUUUGUUGUAGUGUAUGUUGUAUAUAUAUAUACCUCUUAUGCGUGACCCAA
rnacentral:lncRNA from 1 species